AAAAAAAGAAGAAAAUGAAUAAAAGAACAAAAAAUGUGCUUUAAAGACAAAAGAAUCGAGUUGAGACAUCAGACAGCUGCUGAAGCGUUUCGUGAUCGUUUGCAAACAAAAAACUAAAGAAUACGCGAUGACGUCGCAGCAAGUAAACGCUUUGGUAUAGGUAGUAGUGGGUCGAAAGGCGGGAAAGAAAGGCCACAAAUAAUAAAAGUAAAAUAGAACUGGAAGUAUGUCGUGUAAUAGAACAUUCCAUCGAAGGCGAGUGACUCAGCUAUGAAUUCCGGUCUGACAACUUCUUUGUAAGGUGCGUCGGUGAUAGUAAUUGCAAAAUAAGAAAAAGAAUUAAUGAUUCUAUUUUGUUGAUGUCGAAAGAGAAGGGGGUACAGUAGAAGAUGAUCAUGAGACGUGCUGGGCUUGAGUAUCGACUGCAAAUCGGUUACAUAAUUUUCUUUUAAAAAUAAAACUGGUUAUGCAAAAUUUAUUGAGAAGGUUAAACCGAUGUAUUGUGCUCGUAUUAUUCUAGUUUCAUAAAUAAUGCUUUAAUGAUCAUAUUUAUUGUAAAAAAAAAAUUUUUUUUUUGAGAAGUUGUACUUGGGAUCUUCAAUCCUGCGAUAUCGCUUAAUAUAAAUGAAGCAUAAUAAAUUCAGUAUCGUAUGAUUUACUUUGCUUUAAAUGAUGAUGAUACAGAGUUGUUUGUUUACCUUCUGACAAUAUCAUUCUUUAAAAGUAAAACAUAUCGUAGAGUAUCUAUCGUAUGAAGUAAAGCAAGGUAAGGAGUAAAAUUAAAGAAUUGACAAGUUCAGUGGAAAAUCUGAGAACAUAAAUUCAUCGGGAAAACGCUUAUGAAAUGUUAAGGAAAAUGUUAAGGAAAUAUAGCUUCCAAACAGUGAAGAAAAUCUCUAGGAUAUUAACAGGUGAAGCAGC